UGGGGGAUAUUGCACAAUGGGCGAAAGCCUGAUGAAGCGACGCCGCGUGGGGGAUGAAGGCCUUCGGGUUGUAAACUUCUUUUGCUCUGAACAAGGCAUGCCUUUGGGGUGUGUUGAGUGUAGGGGUUGAUUAGCGCCGGCUAACUACGUGCCAGCAGCCGCGGUAAUACGUAGGGCGCGAGCGUUGUCCGGAAUUAUUGGGCGUAAAGGGCUUGUAGGUGGCUGGUUGCGUCUGUCGUGAAAGCUCAUGGCUUAACUGUGGGUUUGCGGUGGGUACGGGCUGGCUUGAGUGCAGUAGGUGAGGCUGGAAUUCCUGGUGUAGCGGUGGAAUGCGCAGAUAUCAGGAGGAAUACCGGUGGCGAAGGCGGGUCUCUGGGCUGUUACUGACGCUGAGGAGCGAAAGCGUGGGGAGCGAACAGG
rnacentral:rRNA from 1 species